GAGCGCCGAGCGAGCGCGGAUCCUCCAGCGCGGCCCCCGCGGCCGGGGAGGCCUAGUGGUCGGGUGCCCCCCGCACCCUCCCGGCCCUUCGCCCGGGUUCACCCCCAGCAGCCGCGCGCCCCGGGCCCGCCGCACCGCAGCCGCUGUAGCCGGGGCGCAGCGCGCUGGGCGCGGCCGAGCCGCCCAUUGUUGAGCGCGGCCGAGCCCAGCCGACGAUGCCCCGCGCCGCCUCCUCGCAGCGGCGGCGAGGUUUGAACUUGGCGUCGGCCCGGAGCCCCGCGCGGCCCCGGGGGGAGGCGGCGGCGGCCGGGCCAGCGGCGAUGAGAUGCGUGUGCAGACCCGGACCCUGCAGAUACAGGCACCCCUGAGUCCUUUGGCCCAGAGCACCUGACCUCUGACCCCCAGCACAGGAAAGCAGCAUGGUCAGGAGGGGUUAAACUUCGGCUGAAGCACAGGCGCAGUGAACCUGCGGGCCGACCUCAUUCUUGGCAUUCAACCAAAUUUGGGGAGAACCAACCCGAUGCCAGCAUGAUGCAGAUAUCUCAGGGCACAAUUGGCACUCCUUGGCCCCAGAGCUACCAUUCCAGCUCCUCUACCAGGGACCUCUCCGGCUAUGACCAUGCUUAUCUGAGGCGGAGCCCUGACCGGUGCAGCUCCCAGGGGAGCACGGACAGCCUGGAGCCCAGCGGGGGAUGCCCGCCCUGCCACCCUCUCUCCCCGGCCAAGUCUACCAGCAGCAUUGAGCAGCUUGGCCACCUCCAUAACAAGAGAGACUCGGCUUACAGCUCCUUCUCCACCAGUUCUAGCAUCCUCGAAUAUCCGGCCCCCGGCAUCUCUGGCCGGGAGCGUUCAGGCUCCGUGGACACCACUUCUGCUCGAGGUGGCCUCCUAGAAGGAAUGAGGCAGGCAGACAUUCGCUAUGUUAAGACAGUCUAUGAUCCCCGGAGGGGGGUCUCAGCAGAGUAUGUGGUGAACUCUUCAGGCCUGCUCCUGCAAGGUAAGGAGGCCCGAGCAUUGGCAGAUGGUCAGGGCUAUGAGAAAUGGCAUAGUGUUCCUCGGGGCAAGGAAGCGUCACCCCCCUCCUGGAGCCAGCACUGCCCCAGCUCCUUGGAGACCACCGCGGACAACUUGCCUCCUAAAGUGGGUGCGCCCCUGCCCCCGGCUCGGAGUGACAGUUAUGCGGCCUUUCGGCAGCGAGAGCGGCCUGGCUCCUGGUCUAGCCUUGAUCAGAAACGGUUCUGCCGGCCUCAGGCAAACUCUGCAGGCACCCUGAAAUCUCCCUUCAUAGAGGAACAGCUGCAUACUGUGCUGGAGAAGAGUCCAGAAAACAGCCCCCCAGUGAAGCCCAAGCAUAAUUACACCCAGAAGGCCCAACCUGGCCAACCUCUGCUGCCAACUGGCAUCUACCCGGUACCUUCCCUGGAGCCACACUUUGCCCAGGCGCCCCGGCCUUCCGUGAGUGGUAACGGCACCCUCUACCCUGCGCUGGCCAAGGAGGGCGGGUAUCCAGCUCCGCAGGGAGCUUGCGACAAGACGGCCGCCCAUGAUGAGAAUGGGAACCAAAGUGGAUCUAGCAGGCCUGGCUUUGCCUUCUGCCAGCCCCUAGAACAUGACUCAGUGUCCCCAGGAGAGAGGAAACCUGAAGUUUCAGCCAAAUGUGUCCCCUACAAAGUCCAUUUCCCCUCAGUGCCUGAAAACGAGGAGGAGACCUCCCUGAAGAGACUUCUCACGCCUCUCCAAGGCAACAGCCCACAUCCCAGUGAGAGAAAGAGCACCCAGGGCAACAAAUAUUCUAAUUACCACAGCCUCCAAUCCCCUCAGGCUCAGGCCUGGCAAGUGGGUGAAGACAAGAGAUCUUUCCUGCCCUCAGAGCCUUGGGAGGGUGAUCUCCAUGAAGACCACAAUGCCAACCUCCGGCGGAGGCUUGACAGAGGCAGCCUGGGCCAGAGCAUGCCAAGCAACUUUGGCAAGACCACAUCUGCCUUCUCCUCGCUCCAAAACAUUCCUGAGAGUCUAAGAAGGCAAAGCAGCCUGGAUCUAGGAGGGGGAGUCCAGGAAAUCUACCUGGAAGGCACGUCCACCUGUGCAGUCAGCACCAAGGCAGAGGACUCUGGAAGGACUGUUGUUCCUGAGCACAGGAGCCAGCUGGACAGGUCAGUUUCCUAUCCCAGGCCUGAGGGGAGAACCAGUGCCUUGGCUUCGUUCCACAGUUCAGACCCAAGGUAUGAAGAGCUGCCCUCCCCACCCCCGCAGGAGACAUCCAGUCUGGGCCGAAGGAGGCUCAGCUCCAGCAGCGCCUCGGCCCUGCAGGGCUUUCAGUAUGGGAAGCCCCACUGCUCGGUGCUGGAGAAGGUUUCCAAGAUCGAGCAGCGAGAGCAAGGGAGCCAGAGACCCCCGAGUGCGGGCAGCUCUAGUUACGGUUAUAACCACAGGCCCAACAGGACACUCCCAACUUCUAAUACUUUGGGGAAUGACCUGGAGGAGACAAAGGCCCAUAUCCGUUUUUCCGAAUCCACUGAACCCCUAGGCAAUGGGGAGCCGCACUGCAAAAACGGGGAGCCGAAGUCGGAAGAGGUUUCCUGGCAGCCGUGUGGUCAGCAGCCGAGGCGGGACGCUCGCCUGCUCCGCAGCCAGAGCACCUUCCAGCUCUUCAGCGAGGCCGAGAAGGAGGCCGUGUGGCCCGAUGACCGGCCCCGCACGCCAGAGUCGCCCGUGCAGGAUGCCCCCUUCAGCCGCGCCUACCGGAACAGCAUCAAGGAUGCGCAGUCCCGCGUCCUGGGCGCCACCUCCUUUCGACGCCGGGACCUCGAGCCGGGGACGCCCACAGCUGCCAGAGCCUGGCGGCUACGACCCUCCUCGGCCCACGUGGGGCUGCGGAGCCCGGAGGCGCCGGCUUCCGCCUCCCCGCACACCCCGCGCGAGCGGCACAGCGUGACCCCGGCCGAGGGCGACCCUGCCCGGCCCGCGCCCCUUGCCGCCCGGAGGGGGCCGCGCCGGCACCUGACCCCCGAGCAGAAGAAGCGCUCGUACUCGGAGCCCGAGAAGAUGCACGAGGUGGGGGUCUCGGAGGAGGCGGAGCCGGCGACCCCAGGCCCACCCAGGAAGGGGCCGCAGUUCGCCGAGAGCUCGGUGGCUGACCGGCGCCGCAUCUUCGAGCGAGACGGCAGGGCCUGCUCCACCCUCAGCCUGUCGGGGCCCGAGCUGAAGCAGUUCCAGCAGAGCGCGCUGGCCGACUACAUUCAGCGCAAGACCGGCAAGCGGCCCGCUGCCGCCGGCUGCGGCCUCCAGGAGCCUGGGCCCCUGCGGGAGCGCACCCAGAGCGCCUACCUCCAGGCCGCGCCCGAGGGCCCCGGCCUCGCUGCGGCCUCCAGUCUGUCCUCUCUGCGGGAGUUCAGCCUGCCGCCCCGCAGAGAGGCCGCCCUCCAGCCGGCCACCGCGGAAGGGGGUGGCGGGGAGCCGCCACGGGCCCCCCGAGAUCGCAGCAGCUCCUUUGCCGGCGGCCGCCACCUCGGGGAACGGCGCCGCGGAGACCAAGCCCCGAGAGAACUGCUCGGUGGAGCAAACGGCGGUCCGAAGGGCCCCCAGAGGCUGGACAGGACCCCUGGGGAGCCCUCCCCGUGGGGGUCCGCGGCCGGGAGGGCCGGGAAGUCCAUGUCGGCCGAGGACCUGCUGGAGCGCUCAGACGUCCAGGCCGUCCCUGUCCACAUGAGGUCACGGUCAUCUCCUACCGCAGACAAGCGCCAGGAUUUGCUUUUGGGGGAAAACAAUGGCUUUGGUCUUGUGAAGGAUCCAUGUUAUUUGGCUGGCCCAGGAUCCAGGCCGCUCAGCUGUUCCAGCCGUGAAGAGAUGUUGUUGCUCCAACACCAUCCCAGCCCUCGUUGCGGGGUUUCGGGCUGCAAAGCAGGUGGUGGUGCCUCCAUUCCCGGCAGAGGUCCGGGACCGCUGGACCCUCCAAGACAGGCCAGCAGAACGCUUUGCCCCCGGCCACUGCCCUCAGGAGCGCAAGGGCAUCUCCCGGACACCAGGGCUGCAACGCUGAGCUCAGCCCUGCCUGCCCCUGGCCCCUCGAGCUACUGCUCACAGGCCGCCGUCGCCCAGCCCUGCACCCCAGCCGGGACCCCCAGAAAUGGCGGCCACCGGCCGGCCCAGCCUCCCAGCCCCGAGCGCAGGAAGGAGGAGGGAGCAGGGACGCGGCCCUCCCCGCCCUGGGUGAAGCGGGCCCACGCGGUCCGAGAGGACAGCCUCCCCGAGGACGCCGCAUCGCCUGGGUGCGCGAGCCCCAAGCACUACGCCAAGCCGCAGGCCCUCCCCAGCCCGAGCAGCACUUCCGACCCGGACACGCCCCUCGGGGCCCCGGGCACUCUGGGCAGGGUCUCCCUGCGGAUCUCUGGGUCGGCCCCGCCGGCCUCCCUGCUGCCUCGGGAGGACACCGACGACGAGGUGUUCGUGAGGGACCUGCGCUCCACCGCCACUUCCGGCCCCACCUGCGAAGCGCCGCCGCCGCCGCCGCCCAGCCGGGAAGCCCAGAACCUGGACCAGAACCUGGACAGCUUCCCUCCGCCUCCCCCUGAAGCUGUGUGCGCGGAGCAGCGGGCCAGCGAGGGCUACCGGGAGCCCCACGCCAGCAGCUCCAGCAAACUUGCCAAGGUGACAGUUGCCAAGGAAAGGCCCAUCCCUGGUGCAGCCCAUUUGGUUGAUAGUCAGAUACUGGCUUCCAGAUCCCAGACUUCUAACAAGAGUUCAGAGGCCAAUGAGACCAACCCACCCUCCACCACCGGUGCUCUGCCCCAGCCUGCCGGGUCUCUUAGCAAGCAGCCAAGCCCAGGGCAGCCACCUUCCAUCCAGACCCAAAGCCUCAGCCACGACCCAGUCAGUGGGACUCAAAGUUUAGAAAAGAAUGUCAGUUCCGGUCCUCAGAAGACCUCAGAAGACAUGAGAACAGAGGCUCUGGCCAAGGAAAUUGUCCACCAAGACAAAUCUCUGGCAGACAUUUUGGAUCCAGACUCCAGAAUGAAGACAACUAUGGACCUGAUGGAAGGUUUGUUUCCACGAGAUGCUAAUCUGCUGAAGGAAAACAGCAUAAAGAGGAAGGCCAUGCAGAGAACUGUCAGCUUCCCAGGAUGUGAAGCUAAGAGGAGUGAAGACAAGGAAGCAGUGGGCAUGUUGGUCAACUGUCCUGUCUACUACAGCGUGUCUGCUCCCAAGGCCGAGCUUCUGAACAAAAUCAAAGCUAUGCCAGAGGAAGUGAAUGAGGAAGAGGAGCCGGCAGACAUCAACGAAAAGAAGGAUUAUGUGGCAAGAAGUAUUUUUAGCCUGAGAACAUGAAGGAAUAAGAAGAUUAGUCCUCACAGGAAAUGACAUAAUCAGUGAGCCAGGACAAGAGAAGGAGGGGACAUUCAAGACAAAGGGAACAACGUGGGAGAAGAGGUAGCUGUGUGACAAAAACAUGGGGAGCGCGCUGUAUGUAUUGAAGAAAGAUAACUUCCAGGAGGUCUGAUAUUUGGGAAUGUAUUAUAAAAUAAAGUCUCAUGAUUUAAUUUAGAGAGUAACAAAGAAAGGCCAUGAAUGGCAGGAGACAAGGCUGGAAGGAUCCACGGGGGCAGGUCAUGGAGGUCACAUGGGGCUUUGUCUGAAAUGCCAGAGUUUGGAGAACCCUAUGAGAUUUUUUUGUUUUAAUGAACUACAGGUUUAUUAACGUGUAAUAGAAUUUGUGUGUCACUUGCAUUUACAUAUCUGAUCUGGAAACAGAAAAUAUGCAGGCUUUAAUUGAUGUUGUUGAAGGCAUCUAUUAAUAUAUUCAGUGUGAAGUUGAAAAUGCAGUUCUCUUCCCAAUGUAUAACAAGCUUUUUUUUUUCCCUAAGGAUGGUUUUAAAACAUGAUACUUGGUCAAGAUGGUUCUAAGGCAGAGUGUAGCCUUCCACCAACUUCUGCAAAGUAAUAAUUGUUGCCUAAUGCUUAAAGAAGUUAGUAAACCUAAGAUGUAUUUCUACACGUGAAACUAAGAGUCAAUGGAAACUAGAAUCCUGAUUUAUUAAUAUUUUGAAACUAGCAUUUCCAAUCAGUUCUACUUUAAUAUACUUUUUAUUUAUAUAUCCUAGAUGAUGAAUUGUAAUAUUCCAAGUAAAUAUAAGUAUUACUUAAAAUAUAAAACAAUCACUGUCUGAACUUCUGACAUACAUAAAAUCUAAAGACAGUUUAAUACUUAGGGCUUUCAAUUCUUUGGCUAAACCCUGCCAUAUCUAUUGGGCAAAAAUCUGCUUAACCAGAUCUCAUGAUUCUCUAUUCUGAAGGCCAAAAGGCUUUGGCUUAGAGACUUAGUGGAAUAUUUCAAAAGGCAAAAAAAAUCUGUUAUUCCUCAGAACUGGCUUUCCCCAAGAGAUCAUUAGUGACCCAGAUGGUUCUCAGCUGCCUAUUUUUGUUGCUCUUGCUUCAUUCUUAAAGUUUCAAGUUUUCCUCUGGUCUGUCUUCUUUUCAGCCUGAAAAACUUCCUUUAGCAUUUCUUUUUUGAAGCAUUUGUCUGCUGGUGAAAAAUUCUUUCAGUUUUCUUUCAUCUAAGAAUGUCUAUAUUCUGUUGUCAUUUCUAAAGAAUUUUUACUAGAUAUGGAAUUCUGGGUUGACUAUUCUUCUUCUUUUAGCACUUUAAAAAUGUCCCAUUUCUUCUUGCUUCCAUGGUUUCUGAUGAGAAACUGCACAGCUGUUGAAUACUUGUUCCUCCUAUAUGCAAUGUGUUGCUUUUCUCUGGCUGCUUUCAAAUUUUUUAUCUUUGAUUUUCAGCAGUUUGGUUAUGAUCUGUAUGGGCCUAACUUUCUUUGAUUUAUCCUGUUGGGGUUUACUAAGCUUCUUGAUUCGGUAAACUUAUGUCUUUCACUAAAUUCAGGAUGUUUUUAGCCAGUAUGUCUUCAAAUAUUUUUUUAUGUGCUACUCUCUUUCUCUUCUUUUGGAACUCCAGUGACACAAAUGUUAGACCUUUUGAUACUGUCCUGCAAAUCUCUGAAACUUUGUUCAUUUUUUUUUUUAAGGCUUUUUUUUAAUUAAUUAUUUAUUUAUUUAUUUUGGCUGCUUUGGGUCUUUGUUGUUGGAUGCGGGCUUUCUCUAGUUGCGGCGAGCGGGGGCUACUCUUCAUUGCGGUGCGUGGGCUUCUCACUGCAGUGGCUCCUCUUGUUGCGGAGCACGGGCUCCAGGCAUGUGGGCUUAGCAGUUGUGGCUCACAGGCCCCAGAGCGCGCAGCCUUCAGUAGUUGUGGCAUGUGGGCUCUAGGGCGCACGGGCUUAGUUGCUCUGCAGCAUGUGGGAUCUUUCCGGACCGGGGCUCGAACCCGUGUCCCCUGCCUUGGCAGGUGGAUUCUUAACCAGUGCACUACCAGGGAAGUCCUGUUCAUGUUUUUUAAUGUUUUCUGUCAGUUCAUUCAGAUUGGAUAAUUUCUAUUGAUCUAUCUUCAGUUUCACUGACUUUCCUGCCUCUAUUCUGCCAGUGAUUUUUUAAAAAUUUUCAAAUAUUAUAGUUUCCAGUCCUCAAAUUUCCAUUCAGUUCAUUUUCUGUAGUGUCUAUUCAUUUCAAGAGUGUUUACUUCUACCGUGGAGCAUAGCUACAAAAGCUGUUUUAAAGGCUUUGAUCGUCCCGUUUGGGUUAUCUCAGGGUUAGCACCUGUUGGUUGUCUUCCCCUGAGAGUUGCUCACAUUUUACUGGUUCUUUUCAUGCUGGGUGAUAUUGUACCUGAACGUUGUGAGUGUUAUGGUGUAAGUCCUGGGUUCUGUGAAAAUCCUCUGAAGAAUGUUGAUUUUUUGUUUUGUUUCAGCAGGCAGCCUAGUUAGGUUCAGGCUACAAGUUCUGUCCCACCUCUGGCUGUUGGUUCCAGUGUCAGUUCAGUUUUCAGAGCCUCUGCUGUCUUAUAUGUGUCUGUCCUACACACGCACCUUUCAGGGCUGAGCCUGGGACUUGGGAAGCAAAAGGGACAGAAUCCGGUAGCAGAUUGGACACGGAGCACAGAAGAGAGGAAGGAGGAGGGCUGGCUCCUGAGUUCCUGGCCUAGGUGACUGUGGUAACAGACAUAGGAAAAACAAGGAGGUCAUUCGGGGAGGGAGGAGGAUGUUUUGUUGAAUUUAAAGAAAUUUAAUAACGUUUCUUGUAUGUCAGAGAUUCCUGUCACCCAGAACCAAGAGACUGAACAACUUUCUGGUCACAAGCCUUCCCAAGAGGCAAUGAGAACCAUUCCUGACUGACAGAGAAUGUGCUAGAGAAUAUCUGAAGUGGCAGCCAGGGCCCCGCAACCUUUCUGCUUUGAUAGGUCACACAACGUGGGAUGCAGGUUUUCUCAGGACAGAAACUGCCCCUGACUUCUCUAUGGGGUGAAAUGCAGCUAAAGAAAACAGUCACAUGCUGCUGCCUGGAGCCUCACAUUGAAUGUCUUUAUCUAGUCCCAGUUUUUACCAGCUGGAGCCCGAACUCCACUCUGUCCCCAGACCCCAGCCAUGUGGCUAAGGGUCCUGAAUUACUCUGUUUAGAUCAAGAUAGGCCAUCAGUCGAGGCCACCUGUGUGUGUAGUGAUGUUAUUGGCAGCCUUGUCAGCACAAGUCCUCCAAAUGACUGGCGUGUGUUCUUGCAGGUGUUGCCUAAUCUUUUUUUUGUUUGUUUUUGUUUUUUUUGCGGUGUGCGGGCCUCUCACUGCUGUGGCCUCUCCCGUCGCGGAGCACAGGCUCCGGAC